CUGCGGUUCUGUGGCUGCGGUUCUGUGACUGCGGUUCUGUGCCUGCGGUGCUGUGGCUGCGGUUCUGUGACUGCGGUUCUGUGGCUGCGGUUCUGUGACUCUGGUUCUGCGGCUCCGUGCCUGCGGUUCUGUGGCUGCGGUACUGUGACUGCGGUUCUGAAACUGCUGGUGCUGCUGGUCUGCAGCUGGAUAUACAGUAUCUCAAAUAUUAGAGAACGGCGGAAGCGGCGACGCAACUCUCUUCAAGUGGACUGAUGAACACACUCAGCUCAUUCAGUGGAGAGUGGCUGAUGAAGCCUUCACUGGAAAGCGUAAUGCUGCCAUCAACGGGUUUGAGUAAUCAUGCUCAUGAAGAGCAGGCACACAGUUGUCUGGUGCUGACGCAGCUGCAGCCAGAUUGUCCCGCACAUCCUCUCCUGCGCUGGCUUCUGUGUUUUGGGGUUCAGGUGGGUCAUCGGCAGGAUCCUCUACAACCUCUGGAUCAACAAUGUCCCCGUUCUGAAGACAGAGGUUGUGGAGCACCGCACAGCAUGCAACAACAUCUGGCACAAAGGCAGGACUCACUUCCAGGGC